GACGAACGCUGGCGGCGUGCUUAACACAUGCAAGUCGAACGGAAAGACCCUGCUUUUGUGGGGUGCUCGAGUGGCGAACGGGUGAGUAACACGUGAGUAACCUGCCCUUGACUUUGGGAUAACUUCAGGAAACUGGGGCUAAUACCGGAUAGGAGCUCCUGCUGCAUGGUGGGGGUUGGAAAGUUUCGGCGGUUGGGGAUGGACUCGCGGCUUAUCAGCUUGUUGGUGGGGUAGUGGCUUACCAAGGCUUUGACGGGUAGCCGGCCUGAGAGGGUGACCGGCCACAUUGGGACUGAGAUACGGCCCAGACUCCUACGGGAGGCAGCAGUGGGGAAUAUUGCACAAUGGGCGGAAGCCUGAUGCAGCAACGCCGCGUGUGGGAUGACGGCCUUCGGGUUGUAAACCGCUUUCGCCUGUGACGAAGCGUGAGUGACGGUAAUGGGUAAAGAAGCACCGGCUAACUACGUG
rnacentral:rRNA from 1 species